AUGUUAGAUACAGCGGGACUUUCCAGGGAAUGGUGGGGGGAGGCUUUGAUGACUGCAAGUCAUGUCCUAAAUAGAGUUCCUACGAAGAAUAAAGAGAUUACCCCAUUUGAAGAAUGGGAAAGGAAAAGGCUUAAACUUUCCUACUUACGAACUUGGGGUUGUUUGGCGAAAGUCAAUGUACCAAUUACCAAGAAGCGUAAGCUUGGGCCAAAAACAGUUGAUUGCGUUUUCCUGGGUUAUGCUUUCCAUAGCAUUGGCUAUAGAUUUCUAGUGGUGAAAUCUGAGGUACUUGACAUGAAUGUUGGUACCAUCAUGGAGUCGAAUGAUGCGACUUUCUUUGAGGAUAUUUUUCCUAUGAAGGAUAUGCCUAGCUCAUCUAGUCAGAGGUCACAGACAACUCCUGGACCUACUGUUCCAUUGGAACAUUCCGAGAAGAAACACACAGAUAUUCCUGAGGAGGAUGACAAUGAAGCUCCUAGAAGGAGCAAGAGACAAAGGACCACAAAGUCAUUUGGUGAAGAUUUCAUUGUGUACCUCGUGAAUGAUAUUCCCACUUCUAUUUCAGAAGCUUAUGCAUCUUAUGAUGCUGAUUACUGGAAAGAAGCUGUGCGUAGUGAGAUGGAUUCUAUCAUGGCUAAUGGGACAUGGGAGAUCACUGAUCGUCCUUAUGGGUGUAAACCUGUAGGGUGUAAGUGGGUGUUUAAGAAAAAGCUUAGGCCCGAUGGUACAAUUGAAAAUUACAAGGCACGACUUGUUGCCAAGGGCUAUACCCAAAAAGAAGGUGAAGAUUUCUUUGAUACUUAUGCACCUGUGGCCAGAUUGACCACCAUUCGAGUACUACUCUCAUUGUCCGCCUCACACAAUCUUCUCGUUCAUCAAAUGGACGUUAAGACAGCUUUCCUAAAUGGAGAGUUGGAGGAGGAAAUUUACAUGGAACAACCCGAUGGUUUUGUAGUAGAUGGUCAGGAAGGAAAAGUGUGUAAAUUGUUGAAAUCUUUGUAUGGUUUGAGACAAGCACCUAAGCAGUGGCACGAGAAGUUCGAAAGAACUUUGACAUCUACGGGCUUUGUUGCAAACGAAGCUGACAAGUGUGUGUACUAUCGCCAUGGUGGGGGCGAAGGAGUUAUAUUAUGUUUGUAUGUUGAUGACAUACUUAUAUUUGGAACAAAUCUCAAGGUCAUUCAGGAAGUGAAAGAUUUUCUGAAUCAAAACUUUGAGAUGAAAGACCUUGGAGUAGCUGAUGUUAUCUUGAACAUCAAGCUUUUAAGAGGUUGUGAUGCUAGUGCUAUGAGGCCUGACAUCUCGUUUUCUGUGAGUAAACUAAGCCGGUUUGUUUCAAACCCGGGAGAUGUUCAUUGGCAUGCACUUGAGAGAAUAAUGCGCUAUCUGAAAGGUACUGCGAAUUAUGGGCUUCACUAUACCGGGUAUCCAGGAGUACUUGAAGGUUAUAGUGAUGCAAAUUGGAUAUCUGAUGCUGAUGAGCUUAAAGCGACAAAACUCACAGCAUUAGACACGGCAACAGUUGAAGCAGAAUGGCUUCGAGAACUUUUGAUGGACUUGCCGGUGGUUGAAAAGCCAAUACCAUCUAUUCUAAUGAACUGUGAUAAUCAAACAGUGAUCGUCAAGGUAAACAGUUCUAAGGAUAAUAAGAAGUCAUCAAGACACGUGAGAAGGAGACUGAAAUCUGUCAGGUUCAUGAGAAACUCCGGAGUUAUAGCGUUGGACUAUGUAAACACAUCGAAGAAUCUGGCAGAUCCCUUCACAAAGGGUUUAUCACGAAAUGUGAUAGACAAUGCAUCGAAGGAGAUGGGAUUGAGACCCACUACAUAA
rnacentral:rRNA from 1 species